UACGGAGGGUGCAAGCGUGUCCGGAAUCACUGGGCGUAAAGGGCGCGUAGGCGGCUCAUGAAGGCUGUGGUGAAAGUCCGGGGCUCAACCUCGGAUCGGCCGUGGCGACUCGUGGGCUGGAGCACUGUAGAGGCGGGUGGAAUUCCGGGUGUAGCGGUGGAAUGCGUAGAUAUUCGGAGGAACACCAGUGGCGGAAGGCGGCUC
rnacentral:rRNA from 1 species